GUAGGUGGCAAGCGUUGUCCGGAAUUAUUGGGCGUAAAGCGCGCGCAGGCGGUUCUUUAAGUCUGAUGUGAAAGCCCACGGCUCAACCGUGGAGGGUCAUUGGAAACUGGAGAACUUGAGUACAGAAGAGGAAAGCGGAAUUCCACGUGUAGCGGUGAAAUGCGUAGAGAUGUGGAGGAACACCAGUGGCGAAGGCGGCUUUCUGGUCUGUAACUGACGCUGAGGCGCGAAAGCGUGGGGAGCAAACAGGAUUAGAUACCCUGGUAGUCCACGCCGUAAACGAUGAGUGCUAAGUGUUAGGGGGUUUCCGCCCCCCUUAGUGCUGCAGCUAACGCAUUAGCACUCCGCCUGGGAGUACGGCCGCAAGGCUG
rnacentral:rRNA from 1 species